CAGGGCCUUGUGUUCCAGUGACAGGUACUGAGCCAGAACCCCUAUAGUUCUGCAGGGCCUUGUGUUCCAGUGACAGGUACUGAGCCAGAACCCCUAUAGUUCUGCAGGGCCUUGUGUUCCAGUGACAGGUACUGAGCCAGAACCCCUAUAGUUCUGCAGGGCCUUGUGUUCCAGUGACAGGUACUGAACCAGAACCCCUAUAGUUCUGCAGGGCCUUGUGUUCCAGUGACAGGUACUGAGCCAGAACCCCUAUAGUUCUGCAGGGCCUUGUGUUCCAGUGACAGGUACUGAGCCAGAACCCCUAUAGUUCUGCAGGGCCUUGUGUUCCAGUGACAGGUACUGAACC